GGCUGGAUGGCUCAGUUGGCAGAGCAUUGGAAUUGCAAUCCGGAGGUCGCAGGUUCAAACACUGCUCCAGUCU